UGUUUCUGAAGGCAAUUCUUAAAGAAACAAUGAUUCAAACUUCCUGACAUCGUUUUCCUUUUGGCUUAUAGUAUCUCAUCUUUGAAAUAUCAUAUCAGCAUUGGAUACAGAACUUUUAUGGGCUGGCCUUCCCAGCCCAGAAUUUACAACUGAUUGCAGAGUAAAGUUUUUACAUUUUGUGUCAUCUCUGAAUUCAGCACAGCGGGUAAUGACUCAAUGGAGACUGUUUUGGAGGUCUUUCACUUCAAAAGGAAACUUAUAAGGAUACAGGUAAGUGCAAAUGUGGUCUUUUCAGAAGAAUGCUUGAUUGAAGAUCUGUUUUUGGACAUAAGAACCUAAAUCUGCAGGUAGCACUUCUUACUCCAUAAGAUUUCAAAGUACAUUGCAACCUAGAUGUAUGCACAUCACUGAAGCGUAUCCAACCUUGAACCUUGGGAUGGUAGUACGGCACUCCAGUCCUGAAGUGAAAAAGGUGUAAGUCAAUAUGGCAAGAUGAAUAUCUGAAAUGAAAGGCUGACUAAAAACAAAAGAGGAAAGGAACUCUUUUGCUACCUAAGCAUCUUAGGGUCCAACAGGACUUCCAGACUCUGAGCUUGAGUAACUAAUGACUGACUGACUGACUCCAUCAGUGGAAAGGGCAUCCUGAGCAAAUGAGUCAAGCCCCCUUCAUUUGCACGUGACUGUUAAGCCAAGUAUUGACUUCCCUGUUUGUCUUUAAGUAUACUGGACCAAAUCUUAUAGAUGUAGACUCAAGACUGUUAUUCAUCAUGAUAGAAAUUUUAUGCUAGAAGAUUUGGCAGGAUUUGUAACACCGUGAGAAAAGUGGGCGAUGUUGUUGAAUAGUUAUAUUCCCAUUAAGCUCCCAUUUUAUUCAGUUUGUUUAGCUGGGUGGCAAUGGGGAGCUAAUAACAUCCACAGGCUUUAAACCAUAGACCAUAAUUCAGUGUUCUCUGCAUGUAUUAUAAUACGGUUGGCAACAGCAGUCCCUCAGUAUGAGGAUGAGAGUCGUCCAGUAAAUAGGGAAGUUAUUGGUGAGUCUGGAGAUGACAGAAGAGGCCAAUCCAAUCUAUGUGAUUUGGUCAAAAUAUGAAAGUUAGCAGCUACUUCAAAAGGAUUCAGGUUUAUAUAUAAACAAAUUAAUCUCAUUGCAUCGUGUUCAGGUAUUAAGGAGGUUUUUCUCUGUGUUUGCAUUUAUCUUGAAUUUUUAUUUUCAUUUAAAAUUUUCAUUAAGGAAUUGGGGAGGGUGUGAGUGAGAGAGGCUUUGUUUAAAUUCUGCUUUUAAUGUGAUUAUAGUACUUUUGAUGCCAGUCUUGAUUAAACUCAGUAUCCAACAUUCCAA
rnacentral:lncRNA from 1 species